GAAGUUUUGUGCUAGGGAUUUCUCACUGGACAAUGCUCCACCAUUGGGUAGAUCAGUUGAAGUUGAUAGCAGUCAAAACAAGAUAUCAACUGAAAACAAUCAACACUCUACCACACAGGAGAUAGCCAACAUACUCAAAAUAUCCAAAUUAAUAAAGUUAUUGGUGAAAAUGAAAAAUGUGUCUUUUAUAUUA